AGUUGGUUUUUAACUGCCUAGCAGGACAAGAGGCCAUAUGCAGUUUUCCCCUUGGCUGAUCUUUUCUUCUUGUGGCUUAUUCCACAAACAAGAUGCAGAAUGGCAUAUACAGAACCCUGCAACGGCCCAGCCUCAUCACAAGAGAGGAACAGACCAUAGAGGGGUGGGGCAGAAAGAGGAAUGAUUUUUUUUUAACUGCGCCUUUUAAACUGCGAAGCAGCUAAGCUCCAUAUAUACAGAAGAGCCCCAUGGAAGUCUGGGUGUAUAUAGGGUUAUGUUUUCCAGGUAUGCUAAGUUUCUAGUGCCCAGAUUAGCCAACUGCUAGCUAGAAUAUUUUUCCCACUGUAAUUGCAUUUAAAAGGGGAAAAUACAAAAGGGGAAAAUAAAUUUGAAGAGUUUCAAAUGUAUGGGAUAACAAAGAGAAAAAAUACAGCUCUAUUAAGACCCAAUGAUAGGAGCUGUCUCCAUUGCACAUUUUUAUUCUUUCUCCGAGGUCACCAAUGUCUCAAAUACCAUGUCAAAGGAAGGAGACGGGUAUAUAGGAAAUGUUUUCUCUCAAGUAUGCUAAGUUCCCAGUGCCCAAAUUAGAUGACUUCUUGCUGGAAUAUUGCUCUCAUUGCAAUUGCAUUUAAGGUCACAGGUCAUAUGUUUUGGACAACUGAUAUCAACUGACUGGCUUCCUGGUGCAACUGAACUCUUCCUCUUUUGGGACUCCACGCAGUUACCAUUGUAUCUCUAGCUUGUGACAACUCUUAAGUAAAAUACUGUGUUCUGGGAACACAAUUUUACCAGGGAUAGGAAGUAACAGUUCAAAGGCCAGGGGAUGGCUUAUUUUCUAACCAAUGAUCUUUAAUGCCCUAUUCACUCAAGAUUCUUUACAAGAGGUAUUCAUGGAGACUUGGAAUUGUAUCAAGACAACUGCUGAGGGACAGAAGAACUCCCCAGUUCUACUUAGAUUCUACCUGGACUACAGUCUCUGGAAAAUUCCCAAUCUAUUCAGAAUCCAGAACAUCUCUCACUAAAACUAAUCAAAAUAACAAACUGAGGAGGAUGAAAUAUUGAUUUUAAUUUCCUUGGACUUUCAAAUCACUGUAGCAAGAAAAUACGAUUUUGGACUUGAAUUCAUCUGGAUUUAUUAAGGCUUUAGAUUUUCAUUUCUCCCUAGACAUCUCAUAGGGAAUUGAUACUCACUUUGGAUGCAUCUUUAUAAUUUGGUAUUUUGGUUUUGAAGUAUGGUAAUGCUGUCCUUUAAUCCCACAGCAGGACAUGGGCUAUGUGCCAUCAUCAUCUGUGAUAGAAAAUAGACCAAGGGCGAAUAGAUGGCCUUGAAAACCAAGUGGCCUAGGAGUUAAUUCUAAGGAACUUGUCUGAUCUAUGUUAGAGCCUUCUCAGAGCAAAAUCUUCAUUGCCCACCUGUGGCUCCAGGAUGAUUUCCCAAGAAGCAAGGGAAGCAGGGAGGUGAGAGCAGGCUGAUCCAACAGGCUGCUGCUUUGCUUCUGAGCACUGGGAGAGCCCCGCUCUAGCUUAAUGAACAAAAUCGUUCAUUAAAACUAAUAGAAUAAAAAUAUGGUAACUAAUGGAAAAGGAAUGACUCUUCCUCACUGUUGAUGUUCCCCCUUAAGUGAGGGACCAUCGAUUAGAAUAACAUACCUGGCUUUGUUCUACCUCUUGACUUUUUUAGCGUGAAUCUCACCCUAGACCUAGCAUCAGAAUCUUCUGGAGCUGGGGUCCAGGCACCAGUAUGUUUUAAAAGCUCCCCGGGUGAUUUUAAUGUGUAGGGAGAGCUAAGAACCAAUGAACUAAAUGAUCUCUAAAGAUACUUUCUAACUCUUUUUUUAAAAAAUGCUGUGAUACCACCAGGAGUUAGAGAAAAUGACUUCAAGGCCCUUGGGGCACCCUUUUCUAGCAGCCCCGAGGCUCCAGUGCAUAGUGUGCAAUCAGCCUUCUAAUAGGAGAAAAACAAUACAAGGCUUCAUGUGUUGGUCCCAAAGCUUGCCUAUUCUGGCUGCCCCACCAUGUCACUGCCAUACAAUCAAUGGAAAAAUUGUUCUUUACCAUAACUUGAGAGGGAGAUAAUCAGGAACAAUCUGGCUACACCAUAGGCUAAUCACAAUGACUGAUAUUUCUAGGGCUGCAUUAAUCAAGCCUUCAAGUAGACAGACUCUUACGGUCAGACCAAUUCUAGAAUGAUUCUGCCUCCACUGUGGGAAUCUUUUAUAAACGGAAAUUCUCCAUUCAGCCUUCCCUCUCUCUCUUAAGUGCAAAAUCCCUCCUAAUGGUAGCAUCUGUUGUCUGCGGCAAACAGAGUUGAUUACAGAUGCUCUGAAAGGAAUUUAAGUAUUUUCUCUUGCUACUCAGGAGGUGAUGGUGUGAUGGGAAACAGUAAUUCUUUUUAGAAAAUAAAAAACCUUUGGCUAAACAGUGACUACAAUAAUAAGAAUGGCUUGGUUUCCUGAAGCCUACUUUGCAAUUGUUGAAGUGAUUUGCCCACUCUAGAGAAGGUAUAUGAAGUGGAAAUGGAAUAUGAAGAGAUAUUCGUACAAGGGAACAAGAUCUUUCCUGAUAGAAUUGUCGUGCAAAAAGGUCUUUUGAAUACUAAGUCAUCAGAAUUGUUUUAAGAAAAAUACAGAUGGAGUCUCACUCUGUUGCCCAGGCUGGGGUGC